UGAUUUUCUGUGAGAAAAUGCAAAUUCCUGUAAGGUUGCUUUUACAUCACAUUUAUCAGUACAUUGUGUUGUUGACAAUGUAAAGCAACUUUAGGACUUCUAAACUUUCAAAAUCUUCUGCUUCAGAAGCAAACAACCCUCUGGAUAAAACCACCAUUUAAGCUCCUGUUGUGUAACUAUUUUACUCCCUUGGAGAAGAUAACAUGCAUUGAAAGUUUGUAUAGCUCCUCGUCUCAUCUUCACUUCAAACAGAAGAACAAAAAGCUGAGAGCAAUAAACUAAAGAGCUGAAAAAAUCUACAGAGUAAAGAAGUAAUUCAAAGAACAAGGAAGAAAGAAAUAUGAGAGGAGGAAGGGAACAAAGAGAGGACAAAGGAAGCAGAACAAGGGAAACAAGUGUCCUAUCAUUCUAUAGAUAGUAUUGUGUGUCUACAUGUAAACCAGGUUGCUGGUGACUAA
rnacentral:lncRNA from 1 species